GAGACGCACACACACAGAGACGCACAGAGACACAGAGAGAGAGAGACGACACACAGAGAGAGACGCACACACACACAGACGCACACACAGAGACACACACACACACACACACAGAGAGAGACGCACACAGAGAGAGACGCACACACACACACACACACAGACGCACACACAGAGACACACACCCACCCCCUCUCUCUUGCCCUCCCCGCUGAUGUUGAUUCUGCUGAUUCGUUUUGUUCAGUUAAGAUCAGCGAAGCCAACACCAGUCUUGUAACGUUUUGUUUCAACCAGUUUUAUUUAUGAAUUAUGAAUUAUUAUUAUUGUUAUUGUUGUUAUUAGUGGUCAGUCCUCCAGUCUCACUGUUUGCAGGUCACUCUCUCUCCUCUGUCUUGGCUGUGUGUCUCUCUAGUGGUCAGUGUGGGGUCAGUCUCUCAGGAACAUCGCUCCUCUUCACUGUGUCCGUCUCUCUCCUCUCACAGAACAGGGUAGCGUCUCCGAGUGCAGCAGGAAGGAGACAGCGGGACUGCAGAACUUCACAUGUUUACUAAUAAUAAUAAUAAUAAUAAUAAUAAUAAUAAUACAACACAAACACAGUACAGGGUUUAUGUCGUUGUCUAAGUUUGGGUGCCGUCUUUAACAAACUAAAUCUGGAGCAUGCUGGGUGUUUGUGCAGCAGUGCUGGUCAAAGUGGAGUGGGGAUGUGCAGGUCCUGAUCUGAAUCGCAGGUCCUGAUCUGAUCUGAAUCGCAGGUCCUGAUCCGAUAUGAAUCGCAGGUCCUGAUCCGAUCUGAAUCGCAGGUCCUGAUCUGAUCUGAAUCGCAGGUCCUGAUCCGAUAUGAAUCGCAGGUCCUGAGCCGAUCUGGAUCGCAGGUCCUGAGCCGAUCUGAAUCGCAGGUCCUGAUCCGAUCUGGAUCGCAGGUCCUGAGCCGAUCUGAAUCGCAGGUCCUGAUCUGAUCUGAAUCGCAGGUCCUGAUCCGAUCUGAAUCGCAGGUCCUGAUCUGAUCUGAAUCGCAGGUCCUGAUCUGAUCUGAAUCGCAGGUCCUGAUCCGAUAUGAAUCGCAGGUCCUGAUCCGAUCUGAAUCGCAGGUCCUGAUCCGAUCUGAAUCGCAGGUCCUGAGCCGAUCUGGAUCGCAGGUCCUGAGCCGAUCUGAAUCGCAGGUCCUGAUCCGAUCUGGAUCGCAGGUCCUGAUCCGAUCUGGAUCGCAGGUCCUGAUCCGAUCUGAAUCGCAGGUCCUGAGCCGAUCUGGAUCGCAGGUCCUGAUCCGAUCUGAAUCGCAGGUACUUGCCAUGGUUCUCAUGGGCUGCUUCUUGUCUGAGGCACAAGAAGAUCAAAAACGAUCAAAUUCAAAGAGAGAGAGGAGAGAGGAGAGAGUGACUUCAUCACACCAGCUAUGAAACACAUUGAGGAAGCGCUCAGUGAGCCGGGCUGAACACACACGCUGCACACCUCUAUUAGAAACAUCCCAGUGAAUCCGUACAGCCCUAACUACAACUACAGUUCCUCCCCUGCAAUGGUGAGGGAUGCUGGGAGCUGUAGUUCUUGAGCUGCAGCGAGCCUGGCUGCACACCUCUAUGAGAAACAUCCUGUAAAGAAAGCAUUGCACCUCAGCGACACAUUGAGCACUAUAACAUGAUUCAGAAUACCCUAUUAUUUAUUUUGUCGUUUUUGUUUUGUUUCGAACCCGUAGAAAUAUCUUGGGCAGGUUUAAAUUUUGAACAAUAAAUAAUGACGCCUCUCUCCUCGGUUUCUCUAUAUCAAGGAUCCUGGAAAUAUAAAUAAAUAAAUCAUUUGAAAUCUAGUAGCACACGAGAGCCCAUUUUUGUACUCUAUUUAUUGUGUAUAAUGAUGAAUUCUCUCUCUUUUUUUUUUUUAAAUAUGUACAUUUAGUAAAACUGUAAAUUAAAGUGCUCCUUUUUAAAAAGUGGA